rnacentral:lncRNA from 1 species
UAAUGGAAAAUACCCAAAUGGAGGGCAAAGCCCCCAUCAGAUGCAUGAAUGUUUGCGAACGAACGGCUGCCACUGCCCCAUACACUGUGUCUUUCUAGAACCCUCCCUCAGCCACCCCACCUGCCAUCUCCACCUGGACACAACUUGCUCAAAGGCUGGUGACUUGUGGGCCAUUCAUCUACAAGUCCUGAAGGAACAAGAGGCCCAAGCCUCGGGGAUGCAAGAAUGGCCCAUUUUAAAAACGUUGUUAGUCCCAGCCGACGUUUUUGGUGAUAUUCCAGUUUAGUUUCCCAAUUGAAAACAAGCCAAACAGACACUCAGACUGGUCAUGUAGAUGUUGCUAGCCUCUGUUGUACAACUAAACAUUACUGUUUGAACAAU